GCCCCGUUGGCGAAAUUGGUAGACGCGCCGCACUCAAAAUGCGGUUCCUAACGGAGUUGCUGGUUCGAGUCCGGCACGGGGUACCA
rnacentral:tRNA from 1 species